rnacentral:rRNA from 1 species
AUGCUGAAGUAUGAAGUCGGUAUGGGAGAAAAAGAAAUGCAACAGACAGAAUGUUGCGUACUAGAAGAGUUUCCGCCAAAUCCCGAGCCAAAAGAACAUAGUAUGCAUGCGACAACCACAAAAGAGCAUGAAGUUAUUGAUAUAUCCAGUAAACGCAAAGAGAUUAUGGAUGUCAGCAGCCACGCCGUUGCCCAAGAAUCUUGCACAGACCACGAAGAAAAGGAUCCACCAAUAGAACCAGAUCAACCACCACCAGACGACAAGAUACCACACCAUGCUGAAGAGGAAACGGACGAGCAAAAUAUUAACAGCAAUAUCGCGAGCACAGAGCAACUUGAACAAACAGGAACUGAUUUAAAAGAGGAUGACAGAAGCAACGACGUACCAAAUACACAAGAACAGGUUUCCGAGCAGAAAAAACAACAUGUUCUUCUUCAAGAAGAAACAGACUCGACAAGCAAUCAGCAAGGCAUCUCCAUCACCAUCUCUUUAGACUUCCUAAAACACAAAACAACGAAAAAGCAUAUAGAAGUUGAUGAAUUUAUUUUAAGCCUUGACCCGGACCAACUGAUGCAAUAA